UACAGAGGUCUCAAGCGUUGUUCGGAUUCAUUGGGCGUAAAGGGUGCGUAGGCGGCGCGGUAAGUCGGGUGUGAAAUCUCGGAGCUUAACUCCGAAACUGCAUUCGAUACUGCCGUGCUUGAGGACUGGAGAGGAGACUGGAAUUUACGGUGUAGCGGUGAAAUGCGUAGAUAUCGUAAGGAAGACCAGUGGCGAAGGCGGUCGUCUGGACAGUCCUGACGCUGAGGCACGAAGGUCAGGGAGCAAACGGG
rnacentral:rRNA from 1 species